rnacentral:rRNA from 1 species
AGCAGCCGCGGCAAUUCCAGCUCCAAUAGCGUAUAUUAAAGUUGUUGCAGUUAAAAAGCUCGUAGUUGAAUUUCGGGGUUCUACCGUUGGUCGGGCUUUGUCUGUACUGGCGUGUAGAAUUUCUACCUUCUGGGGAACCAUCAUGUUAUUAAUUUAACGUGGUGGGAAACCAGGACCUUUACCUUGAAAAAAUUAGAGUGUUCAAAGCAGGCUUAUGUCUGAAUACAUUAGCAUGGAAUAAUAGAAUAGGACGGUGGUCCUGUUUUGUUGGUUUCUGAAUCACCGUAAUGAUUAAUAGGGAUAGUUGGGGGCAUUAGUAUUCAAUUGUCAGAGGUGAAAUUCUUGGAUUUAU